rnacentral:lncRNA from 1 species
UGUAAAUAAUGACAUGUUCUGUUAUUAAUAAUAAUUUAAAAAUGUAAAUGAUCUUUCUUAGGGUUUUUUUUUUUUUCAUGAGAGCUUUAUCUGGGCCUGUCUUUAUGCCCGGGUGAUCCUGGCCUGUCUUUAUGUCCGGGUGAUCCUGGCCUGUCUUUAUGUCCGGGUGAUCCUGGCCUGUCUUUAUGUCCGGGUGGUCCUGGCCUGUCUUUAUGUCCGGGUGAUCCUGGCCUGUCUUUAUGCCCGGGUGAUCCUGGCCUGUCUUUAUGCCCGGGUGAUCCUGGCCUGUCUUUAUGCCCGGGUGAUCCUGGCCUGUCUUUAUGCCCGGGUGAUCCUGGCCUGUCUUUAUGCCCGGGUGUUCCUGGCCUGUCUUUAUGCCCGGGUGAUCCUGGCCUGUCUUUAUGCCCGGGUGAUCCUGGCCUGUCUUUAUGCCCGGGUGAUCCCGGGUGGGGUCGAUCGGUCAUCGAGGUGAUCGACCAACCCCAAAGUGCUGCAUGUUUAAUGACGACAGACACCCGUCUCGAUGGCUUGAACCCUGGUCACAAGACAGCAUUUAUCUUCCUGAGCUAAAGGCUGAGCCAAGGCAUUUAUCUCUAGGAGCUAAAACAAAGUCUUCAUGUUCACAAAAUCAACCUCCAUUACAUCAACCUCCCCAAAAAUACAACUUCUGGUCACAUGACUCCAGUCCUCUCUCUCUGACUCUCUCUCUCUCUCUCUGACUCUCUCUCUCUCUCUGACUGACUGUCUCUCUCGCUCGCUCUCUCUCUCUCUCUCUGACUCUCUCUCUGACUGACUCUCCCUCUGACUCUCUCUCUCCCUCUGACCCUCUCUCUGACCCUCUCUCUCUCUGACUCUCUCUCUCUCUGACUCUCUCUCUCUCUGACUCUCUCCUGACCCAAUCUGAGAGGACGGGUAGAGGAGGCUAGUUAAUAACACCAGGGGUUGUACCGCCCUGGGGGAGAAGUCGGCCCUAACCACAGCUCUAGGAUCAGCCCCCCCCUCCUCUUAAAGCAAAGGAGGGGAAACAUAUAACUGGUUCAAGGUCAGCGUCUGUCAGCCCCGCGUGUGUAAAUAUAACUGGAUGUUUUUCAACUCUGCUUUUAUCUUCCUGAGUCUCGAUCAUUCGCCUCGAGAACAGCCAUGGUCAAAACGGAGGGGGGCUGAAUAUUAAAUUAGAACAGCCAUGGUCAGAACAGAGGGAGGGGCUGAAUAUUAAAUUAGAACAGCCAUGGUCAAAACGGAGGGAGGAGGGGCUGAAUAUUAAAUUAGAACAGCCAUGGUCAGAACGGAGGGGGGCUGAAUAUUAAAUUAGAACAGCCAUGGUCAGAACGGAGGGAGGGGCUGAAUAUUAAAUUAGAAGAGCCAUGGUCAGAACGGAGGGAGGGGCUGAAUAUUAAAUUAGAACAGCCAUGGUCAGAACGGAGGGAGGGGCUGAAUAUUAAAUUAGAAGAGCCAUGGUCAGAACAGAGGGAGGGGGAUAGUAAAUUAUAGAACAGCCAUGGUCAGAACAGAGGGAGGGGCUGAAUAUUAAAUUAGAACAGCCAUGGUCAGAACAGAGGGAGGGGCUGAAUAUUAAAUUAGAAGAGCCAUGGUCAGAACGGAGGGAGGAGGGGCUGAAUAUUAAAUUAGAACAGCCAUGGUCAGAACGGAGGGGGGCUGAAUAUUAAAUUAGAACAGCCAUGGUCAGAACAGAGGGAGGGGGAUAUUAAAUUAGAACAGCCAUGGUCAGAACGGAGGGAGGGGCUGAAUAUUAAAUUAGAAGAGCCAUGGUCAGAACGGAGGGAGGAGGUGAAUAUUAAAUUAGAACAGCCAUGGUCAGAACGGAGGGAGGGACUGAAUAUUAAAUUAGAACAGCCAGGGUCAGAACGGAGGGAGGGACUGAAUAUUAAAUUAGAACAGCCAUGGUCAGAACGGAGGGAGGGACUGAAUAUUAAAUUAGAACAGCCAUGGUCAGAACGGAGGGAGGAGGUGAAUAUUAAAUUAGAACAGCCAUGGUCAGAACGGAGGGAGGGGCUGAAUAUUAAAUUAGAACAGCCAUGGUCAGAACGGAGGGAGGGACUGAAUAUUAAAUUAGAAGAGCCAUGGUCAGAACGGAGGGAGGUGAAUAUUAAAUUAGAACAGCCAUGGUCAGAACGGAGGGAGGGGCUGAAUAUUAAAUUAGAACAGCCAUGGUCAGAACGGAGGGAGGGACUGAAUAUUAAAUUAGAAGAGCCAUGGUCAGAACGGAGGGAGGUGAAUAUUAAAUUAGAACAGCCAUGGUCAGAACGGAGGGAGGGGCUGAAUAUUAAAUUAGAACAGCCAUGGUCAGAACGGAGGGAGGGACCAUACUACUCUUCCUGUUCUGUUGUUUUUACUUUCGCCUGUGAGCAUCGACAGACCAGAGUGGUUUCUGGGCCCCGCUGCAAGAGAGUGUGUGUGUGUUGUAUAUACUCUGCUGUGUGGGUGUGUGUGUGUGUGUGUUGUAUAUCUACUCGUGUGUUGACAGUAUGAAACGUGGUGGUCUGUGGGAAUGUGGCGGUCUGUGGGAAUGUGGCGGUCUGUGGGAAUGUGGCGUGUUUGCAGUGAUGCAUCUAUGGACAUCCUCUCAGAAUAAAUAAAUGUUCUAUACAAACUGUUCCCCUCGACUCUUUUACUACUGUCUGUCUGUCUGUCUGCCUGUCUGCCUGUCUGUGUACAGUUGAAGUCUGUAAACAUCCACUUAGGUUGGAGUCAUUAAAACUUGUUUUUCAGCCAUUCCACAAAUUUCUUGUUAACAAACUAUAGUUUUGGCAAGUCGGUUAGGACAUCUACUUUGUGCAUGACACAAGUCAUUUUUCCAACAAUUGUUUACAG